CUUCACCGAGCCGAGCCACAGCGGCGCCUCGGCGCUCUUCUCCUUGCCGUACGUGGCGAGCAGGGCCUGCGCCUC
rnacentral:antisense_RNA from 1 species